UUUUAGAUGGGGGGGUGUUUUAUUAGUUAGUUGGUGGAGUAAAAGUAUAAGAAGGAGAUGAUGGGUAGGGGGAAUGAGAGGGUGAAGGGAUAGAGUGGGAAUGAGAUAGGGAAAAGAUUGGUAGGGGAGGUAGUAGAUAAGAAUAUNUGGUAAUGGAAGAAAGUAUGAAGGAGUGAUGGUGGGUGGAUGAUGAAGGAAGGAAGGUUGUAAAAAUCCUUUUGUCAACGAAGAAUAAGCGGAGGAGGGAAUGCCUUCGUGAUGACGUUAGUUGACGAAUAAGCCCCGGCUAAUUACGUGCCAGCAGCCGCGGUAACACGUAAGGGGCGAGCGUUGUUCGGAAUUAUUGGGUUUAAAGGGUGCGUAGGCGGCCAUUUAAGUCAGCGGUGAAAUUUUGCAGCUUAACUGUAACAGUGCCGUUGAUACUGUUUGGCUAGGAUUUGGUUGUAGUGUGCGGAAUGUGUGGUGUAGCGGUGAAAUGCUUAGAUAUCACACAGAACACCGAUUGCGAAGGCAGCACACUAAGUCAUUAUUGACGCUGAGGCACGAAAGUGUGGGGAUCAAACAGGAUUAGAUACCCUGGUAGUCCACACUGUAAACGAUGAUAAGCUCGCUGUCGGCCGAUACACAGUCGGUGGGCCAAGCGAAAGCAUUAAUUUAUCCCACCUGGGGAGUACGACCGCAAGGUUGAAACUCAAAGGAAUUGACGGGGGCCCGCACAAGCGGAGGAACAUGUGGUUUAAUUAGAUGAUACGCGAGGAACCUUACCCGGGCUCGAACGGUGCAUGAAUAUACGAGAGAUUGUAUAGUCCUUCGGGACAGGUAUAGAGAUGCUGCAUGGUUGUCGUCAGCUCGUGCCGUGAGGUGUCGGCUUAAGUGCCAUAACGAGCGCAACCCUUGUCAUUAGUUGCCAUCAGGUCAAGCUGGGGACUUUAAUGAGACUGCCACCGUAAGGUGUGAGGAAGGGGGGGAUGACGUCAAAUCAGCAUGCCCCUUAUGUCUUGGGCUACACACGUGCUACAAUGGACGGUACAGACGGUUGCGAAACCGCGAGGUGAAGCUAAUCCGAGAAAGCCGUUCUCAGUUCGGAUUGCAGGCUGCAAUUCGCCUGCAUGAAGUAGGAAUCGCUAGUAAUCGCAGGUCAGCAUACUGCGGUGAAUACGUUCCCGGGCCUUGCACACACCGCCCGUCA
rnacentral:rRNA from 1 species